AAAUAAAUUAGCAUAACAUUAACUUAGAAAAUAUGCUAUAUGACAUGGACAAAAUAUGCACACAUCCAAACAAAAUUUAGAAGAAGAAUUUCAUAUUUCUAAUGAUGCCAUAAGGAGUCGUCUUUUGCAUCUUCUUUCCUAACAUGAUACUUUUGUUCCUCGUCUUCUUCACAUGCUUGCAUAUAUGUCUUAACGUUUUUGAACAUUUCUUUUCAAGGUACCUUUAAAACUUUGAUUGUUUUAGAAAAAAACAAACAAAGUAGCAUAACAUUAACUUAGAAAAUAUGCUAUAUGACAUGGACAAAAUAUGCACACAUCCAAACAAAAUUUAGAAGAAGAAUUUCAUAUUUCUAAUGAUGCCAUAAGGAGUCGCCUUUUGCAUCUUCUUUCUUAACAUGAUACUUUUGUUCCUCGUCUUCUUCACAUGUUUGUUAUCCUAUCACUACUGUUGUAAAUCUCACAAUCUCUCUAUUUCUCACACUCAUUUUCGGUUUCAUUGUCUUUAGAGAGAAGCCCAACUCAGGGAAUAUGCACCUUUUGUAUUAUUUCUCUUGGUUUUGGACUCUUUGCCCUCAAGCCUACGAAAUGUUUAGUUGUGUUGCAAAAGAUCACAACCGUUUUGUAGUUUUAAGAUUAAGUUUUAAGUUAGGAACAAAAGAUUUAGAUCUUAACAUUAUGCAAAAAGAAAAAAUGAUCAGAUCCUAACAGUUCGAUGAAAGACCGUCUCACCCGAAAGACCCCGCCCAUAGCCGCCUGCCAGAUCUAAAGAGGUUGCUACUUUCUUCCUCCAGAUCUCUUACUUUGAAUGAGUUACUCGAUCUCGCUCUGCAGAGGGUUUUUACUAGUCGCGAUGAGUUGUUUCAGUUCUUAAAAUCGAUGAAGAGAGAAUCGAGCCCAUAAGAUAUGGAGAGAGUGAGGCGGUACGAAUCAUGGAAGAAGAAGAAUGUAAUCGGGAAGAGAAAUCGAGAAAGUGGGGAGUUGGGAAAGAGAAUGUGGUUACUGGAUUUUGUAUCGUGGCAUUCUAAUUGAGGGAACCAAAUUCGCCGUCAAUAACUUUCUUAACGGUGAUUCUAAAUGAGUCCCUUAAAAAUAAAAUAAUAAAAAUUAAUUGAAAAAGUAAGAGAGAGAAGAAGAAAGAGAGAAAUACGGUCUAAAAAAAACUUUGCUUCAGUGUGACGAGAAACCCACAUGAGAUGUGGAAAAAUGCAAUUGGUCAAUUUUUUUAUU
rnacentral:sRNA from 1 species